rnacentral:rRNA from 2 species
UUUAAUUGAAGAGUUUGAUCAUGGCUCAGAUUGAACGCUGGCGGCAGGCCUAACACAUGCAAGUCGAACGGUAACAGGGAGCAGCUUGCUGCUCUGCUGACGAGUGGCGGACGGG